UCGUUGCACAUAUAGAACUAAUAGGAUGGAUAAACUCUGUGACACUGCUAAAGGAGAGUUACCGUUUCAGGUCUCUCCUCUUUAUUUGGUGGUUUUUCAGUUUUAUCUUCAACAACUAGUUCUUCAUCUGUCUGUUCAAUCGUUAGUUCUUCAGGUUUCUCUUCAAGCGCUAGUUCUUCAGCUGUUUCCUCCCCUACUAGCACUUGUUUUUCUUUAGUUGCUGGUUCUUCAGGUUUCUCUUCAGCUGUUGGUUCUUCAGGUUUCUCCUCAACUGGUUCUUCAGAUUUCUCUUCAACUGUUGGUUCUUCAGGUUUCUCUUCAAGAACUGGUUUUUCAGUUUUUUCUUUUACUGCAGGUUCUUCAGGGUUUUCCUCAACUUCUGAAAAGUGAGCAGCAUUAUUGUUUGUAAUGCUUGGAGUUUUACUUUCAGUUUUGUCGUUCGGGACUACAACUGGAAUACUCUGCAAGA
rnacentral:lncRNA from 1 species